GGACGAGCUAGGUGUAACCCUCUUCACGGUUUUGUUCAUGCUAUUUUAUGGUGUGGAGAGAGUCUUUGGAGAAGUGGUUGAGCAAAGAGUCCAGCCAGGAGACAACAUCACCUUGCAGUGUAACUCAGAAACAAACAUGGUAGUUAUAGAGUGGAGCAGAAAGUGCACCCAUGUGUAUCAGCCAGUACUCUCCAUAGCAAGCAAAUGGACAAUACCUCGCUACAGUAUUACAACCUCAAAUAAAUCCAGUGUUCUGAGGAUUGAGAACAUCACUGAGGGGGACCUUGGACUUUACUACUGCGCCGGCUCAAAGACUGGCUUACAGAAAAGAGAACCAUUUGGUACAACUUUCAAAGUGACUUUUGAAGAAACCUUCUGCCCAGUGCCAAGUCUCCCAGCUGUCCUCCUCCUGAAUGUGGGCACUGCUGGAUUUUACUGGUCAGUUUGUGUCCCACUUGUUUGCUUGUUACCGUGUUCAUCUCCUCUGCUUGUGUGUACUGCUUCACCCAUA